rnacentral:lncRNA from 1 species
GAGGGGCACCAGUUAACAUCACCCUCUCCCAUCCCCCAACAGCCUCCCUCUUGAGCUCCUGCCUCCAGCUGGCACAAGCCUGGGACGGCGUCACCAUCAGGCAGGAGCCGGCGGCCCUUGACGUGGGGGGGGACAUGACCCUGGUCGUGCUGGGCAUCCCCCAGACCCUCCUGGUCUGCAGCUGGUACCGAGGGGCAAAAGCCGGCAUCGCCGCAAACUGGAUCCUGAGCUAUGCCCCAUCGGCCACCCCCCAGAAGUUCUACGGCCCGGCACACACGGGGCGGGAGACAGUGGGGCCCGACUGCUCCCUGCACAUCACAGGGCUCAGGGGGACCGACGUUGGCAGCUACACCCUGACUGUACAGGGGCCUGGGUACAACCAGGCCAUCUCCAUGAGCAUCUCCUUCUCCGUUCGACCGUUACCCGGGUUCCUGGCUCUCGUUGUGGGCGUGCCAUUGGCAGUUCUGGUGUGUGUGGCUCUGCUGGUGACUUUUAUCUUGUGUAAGAGACGUCGCGACUCAGGUGCCAGCAACCUGAUCGAGCCUCCCGGGGAGAGAACAGGGAUUGUUCCACAGUAGAAGAACCUGCCUCUCGGGCAGGGCCAGCUGCGAGUGCCAGGAACUCAGCCUGCCUGAGCUCUGCCUGUGCCCCUCACUCCCAAACCGCAGCUGUUUCGGAGAGGCGGAAAAAGUCAC